rnacentral:rRNA from 1 species
CCUACGGGCGGCAGCAGUGGGGGAUAUUGCACAAUGGGGGGAACCCUGAUGCAGCGACGCCGCGUGGGUGAAGAAGCGCCUCGGCGCGUAAAGCCCUGUCAGCAGGGAAGAAAAUGACGGUACCUGAAGAAGAAGCCCCGGCUAACUACGUGCCAGCAGCCGCGGUAAUACGUAGGGGGCAAGCGUUAUCCGGAUUUACUGGGUGUAAAGGGGGCGCAGACGGCGAUGCAAGCCAGGAGGGAAAGCCGGGGGCCCAACCCCGGGACGGCUCUUGGAACUGCGUGGCUGGAGUGCAGGAGGGGCAGGCGGAAUUCCUGGUGUAGCGGUGAAAUGCGUAGAUAUCAGGAGGAACACCGGUGGCGAAGGCGGCCUGCUGGACUGCAACUGACGUUGAGGCCCGAAAGCGUGGGGAGCAAACAGGAUUAGAUACCCCGGUAGUC